rnacentral:rRNA from 1 species
UACGUAGGGUGCGAGCGUUAAUCAGAAUUACUGGGCGUAAAGCGCACGCAGGUGGCUGAGUCAGUCGAUUGUGAAAGCCCUGGGCUUAACCUGGGAAUUGCAGUCGAUACUACUCAGCUAGAGUAUGGGAGAGGGUAGUGGAAUUCCCGGUGUAGCGGUGAAAUGCGUAGAUAUUGGGAAGAACACCGGAGGCGAAGGCGGCUCGCUGGACCUGAUCUGACGCUGAGGUGCGAAAGCGUGGGGAGCGAACAGG